rnacentral:rRNA from 1 species
AUAGCCAUAUCACGUUGAAACACAGGUUUCCGUACGAUCACCGAAGUUAAGCAACGUCCAGACUGGUCAGUACCUAGAUGAGUGACCGCUUGAGAAUGCAAUGUGCUGUAAG